GUCAGGAUGGCCGAGCGGUCUAAGGCGCUGCGUUCAGGUCAUGACCCUGGAGGCGUGGGUUCGAAUCCCACUUCUGACA